GGCCUCAAACAUGCAAGUCUAGGGGGCGUAGCAAUACGUCACCGGCGGACGGGUGCGUAACACGUGGGAAUGUACUUAUUGGUUCGGAACAACUCAGGGAAACUUGAGCUAAUACCGAAUGUGCCCGUAAGGGGAAAGAUUUAUCGCCAAUAAAUCAGCCCGCGUCCGAUUAGCUAGUUGGUGGGGUAAAGGCUCACCAAGGCGACGAUCGGUAGCUGUUCUGAGAGGAAGAUCAGCCACACUGGGACUGAGACACGGCCCAGACUCCUACGGGAGGCAGCAGUUGGGAAUCUUGGACAAUGGGGGAAACCCUGAUCCAGCCAUGCCGCGUGAGUGAUGAAGGCCUUAGGGUUGUAAAACUCUUUCGGCGGGGACGAUAAUGACGGUACCCGCAGAAGAAGCUCCGGC
rnacentral:rRNA from 1 species